rnacentral:lncRNA from 1 species
GUGAGAGCCACACAAGUCGGUUUACCAGCCUAAUACUUUACUGUGGCUAUUUUGUCUCAAAUUUUGGUGCAAGGACAAACUCAUUAGACGCUUGGCAGAGUAAGUUCCAAUAAAGUUUAUUCAACAUUCUGACUUGUAGGGACUGUUCAGCAUGCUGGAAUCUAUGUUCGGGAUGAGUGUGGAGGCUUGUCCAGUCCACACUCGGAUUCGUAGAGGCUUGUACUCAUUGUACCCUAACCCCAGAUACCCAUUUGCAUUACAGCCCACUGCUUGAUUUGGUUCUAUAACAGAAAUAGAUGGUGUUGGCCACAAUGGGUUGCAGCAGUCUGUUUGGCAUGAUAACAACAAAGGACUUGGCUAGCCUAAAUUAGAAACAGACCAGUGCUCAGGCUAGAUGCCAGUGAAUGAGUCUGUCUGUAGACUAAUAAGGUCUGUUAGGUUAGAUCAGUGGUCACCAACCGGUCUAUCGCGAUCGACUUGAUCUCCAAGGCAUUUCUAGUCAAUCGCCAAACAUUUCUGUAAAAAACCCAACGACCAAGCCUUCAACCACAAGACCACUACAUUCCUGGGUUAUCUUUGGUCUCUUUGUUGCCUCUCUGAUUAAUGCCCUCCUUGCUUGGUCGUGUGUUCUUAUUUUUUUAUUUGAUGGUGGUAGGCAAACUGUUGCCAUUUCAUGUGUCUGAAGGUACAAACUGCCUUUCCAGUGGGCCUGGAGAGGAAAUCAAGUGCACUAUGCUACCGCUGGCCAGUGUCAGGGUUGAACUGACUAUUUGUUUGCAUAACUUAUAUAAUAUACUGGGGAAGCUAUGCUACAAUAAUAAGUAUAUGAACGGCGGGUAAAUCAACUGGUGAAGACAAGAAGAACUACAACUGGUAACAGGAAGUGCGUCACGACGCUGGGAUCAGCCUGCACGCCGACAACAGGAGGAGCAAGUUUAAACCACGCUCCUCCCUCUGACAGGCCAGCAUUGAGCGGGAACCAUCUCUGUCAGAGUAUAAAAGAGAGAACAAUAGAAUGUGACGCCCUCUUCUUCUGUUUUGCCCUGCGAGGUGUUACAGAGAGACCGUAUACGAACGACAUAUUUACCAUACACGUGUUUAAUUAAUGCAAAGUACAACUAAAUCAGAGGAUACUAUGUGCUGACUAUUUUGUUCUGAUACCAGAAACGAACUGUCGCAACUUUAACACCAGUCAGAUUGCUCAGAUGACCGAGCCUGCAGUAACGUAGCAGGCAUAAAAGAAAGCUACGACAAAAUUGAUACUGUGAGAUUUCAAAACGUUUAAAACCAUGACUAGAGAGACUGUCAACGAAUACAGCAAAGAGCUGCUGUUUGAGUGAGUUCAUGUUUAACCUCUUACAUCUAGACGUUCCGCUAGCGGAACACCGGCUCCAAUAGCCAAUGAUGGGCGUGGCGCGAAUUACAAAUUCCUCAAAAAUACAAAAACGUCCAUUUUUCAAACAUAUGACUAUUUUACACCAUUUUAAAGACAAGACUCUCCUUUAUUUAACCACACUGUCCGAUUUCAAAAAGGCUUUACAACGAAAGCAAAACAUUAGAUUAUGUCAGCAGAGUACCCAGCCAGAAAUAAUCAGACACCCAUUUUUCAAGCAAGCAUAUAAUGUCACAUAAAUCCAAACCACAGCUAAAUGCAGCACUAACCUUUGAUGAUCUUCAUCAGAUGACCCCUAGGACAUUAUGUUAUACAAUACAUGCAUGUUUUGU